AUGACGGAAAAAGCAAUGGAAGUGGUAGGAUCAGCAGUUGCUCAGGAGAUUGUGAGUAGAGGCUUCUCCUUCGUGCUCAGCAGCCCGGAGAAGGUGUCCCAGGAGGACCUCAUUGAGAGGCUGGAGAUGGCGCACAUAAAACUGGAUGGGGCGCUCGAGAGGUCCAGGAUGAUGCCCAUCACCAUCAUGGCAUCACUUCGCCUAAGGAAGAAGUUGAAGGAUGUCUUCAAGGAGUGUGCUGAUCUGCUCGGCAAGGCGAGGGAUCGUCAGAAUGUGAUACCCUCUUUACGUAGAAAGGUAAUGCAUGCUGUGCUGCCCUCUUUCAUUGUCCCAAAUCAAGAUGUGCUGAGUAGCUCUGCUGUUCGAAAAUUUGAGCUGUAUGCCAACGAAGCCGAGAAGUUUGUCAGGGACCUGGAGUCCGGAUGUUCACUUUCUCACUACAGGUUUCUCAAUCCACUCAUCCGGCAUCUUCUUGAAGGAAAGAAUCUCUCCUAUCACAUGGUGCAAGGAAGCCAAACAUGUGGUCUUUCGAUAUGGACGGCUUCUGUGGAAGAGUAUGGUAGAGUCGCAAGGCUAGAUUUCGAUUACAAAGAUCGCAGGGCGCCACUUAGAAAUUUUCACCUAACGUUGGCUCUAAGACUAUAUGAAAGCACAGACAUACUUGGAGUUACCGCAAAAUGUUUGCAGUCACUUGGACCUCGAUUCAAGUCUUUGGCUGACGUUGCAACAGGAGAACUGACUCAAGUAUGUACACAAGAUGUUUCAUAUUACGAUCCAGUAUGUUCAGUAAUUUGGAGAAAUGUAGUUGGAUUGACUACAGGUUGGAGUCCAGACCCAUUUUGUUGCAUAGAAAAUGGGCCGACCAAGCCUUGUGCUAACAAUAUCAACUCGUCCGAGUUAACAGGCAGAUUCCCACAAGAAGUUAUGUUCGUUUCUUUUGACUGCCGUUUUUCAGCUUCUGAUUGCUCGCGGAGCUCAAAUGAUGAAGCUCAUAUAAACACCAUAAAAGCAUGGCCACCUCUAGAGAUGGCAGUUUCCUUUGCACCUCAUCUCCCAGAUAAACACCAGCGUGGGAGUAGCUUACACCAAUCAGAGGAGGAAAUACAAACAAAGGCGAUCAAUUGUUUCAUCCGUCACCCUGAGCGGACGGAAUUCCGUAUGUUUUGGGGCUCGGCACAUGGAUAUGCAAUCUUUCAUGUUCAGAAGCCGGUCACUAAAGCAAGGAGAGCAUCAAAGAGAAGGCGUUAG
rnacentral:rRNA from 1 species